rnacentral:rRNA from 1 species
CUCAUUAAAUCAGUUAUCGUUUAUUUGAUAGUACCUUACUACUUGGAUAACCGUGGUAAUUCUAGAGCUAAUACAUGCUAAAAACCCCGACUUCGGGAGGGGUGUAUUUAUUAGAUAAAAAACCAAUGCCCUUCGGGGCUCCUUGGUGAUUCAUGAUAACUUAACGAAUCGCAUGGCCUUGCGCCGGCGAUGGUUCAUUCAAAUUUCUGCCCUAUCAACUUUCGAUGGUAGGAUAGUGGCCUACCAUGGUAUCAACGGGUAACGGGGAAUUAGGGUUCUAUUCCGGAGAGGGAGCCUGAGAAACGGCUACCACAUCCAAGGAAGGCAGCAGGCGCGCAAAUUACCCAAUCCCGACGCGGGGAGGUAGUGACAAUAAAUACUGAUACAGGGCUCUUUUGGGUCUUGUAAUUGGAAUGAGUACAAUUUAAAUACCUUAACGAGGAACAAUUGGAGGGCAAGUCUGGUGCCAGCAGCCGCGGUAAUUCCAGCUCCAAUAGCGUAUAUUAAAGUUGUUGCAGUUAAAAAGCUCGUAGUUGAACCUUGGGCCUGGCUGGCCGGUCCGCCUCACCGCGUGUACUGGUCCGGCCGGGCCUUUCCUUCUGGGGAUCCGCAUGCCCUUCACUGGGCGUGCCGGGGAACCAGGACUUUUACUUUGAAAAAAUUAGAGUGUUCAAAGCAGGCCUUUGCUCGGAUACAUUAGCAUGGAAUAAUAGAAUAGGACGUGCGGUCCUAUUUUGUUGGUUUCUAGGACCGCCGUAAUGAUUAAUAGGGAUAGUCGGGGGCAUCAGUAUUCAAUUGUCAGAGGUGAAAUUCUUGGAUUUAUUGAAGACUAACUACUGCGAAAGCAUUUGCCAAGGAUGUUUUCAUUAAUCAGUGAACGAAAGUUAGGGGAUCGAAGACGAUCAGAUACCGUCGUAGUCUUAACCGUAAACUAUGCCGACUAGGGAUCGGGCGAUGUUAUUCUUUUGACUCGCUCGGCACCUUACGAGAAAUCAAAGUCUUUGGGUCUGGGGAGAGUGG